CCUACGGGUGGCUGCAGUGGGGAAUAUUGGGCAAUGGGCGCAAGCCUGACCCAGCAACGCCGCGUGAAGGAAGACGGCUCUCUGGUUGUUAACUUCUUUUUAGAGGGAAGAGCAGAAGACGGUACCUCUUGAAUAAGCCACGACUAACUACGUACCAGCAGCCGCGGUAAUACCUAGGUGGCAAGCGUUGUCCGGAUUUACUGGGUGUAACGGGCGUGUAGCCGGGCUGACAAGUCAGAUGUGAAAUCCCGUGGCCCAACCACGGAACUGCAUUUGAAACUGUCGGUCUUGAGUAUCGGAGAGGCAGGCGGAAUUCCUGGUGUAGCGGUGAAAUGCGUAGAUAUCAGGAGGAACACCAGUUGCGAAGGCGGCCUGCUGGACGCCAACUGACGGUGAGGCGCGAAAGCGUGGGUAGCAAACAGGAUUAGAUACCCCAGUAGUC
rnacentral:rRNA from 1 species